GACGAACGCUGGCGGCGCGCUUAACACAUGCAAGUCGAACGGAAAGGCCUGCUUUCCCUUGUGGAUUGCGGGUACUCGAGUGGCGAACGGGUGAGUAACACGUGAGUGAUCUGCCCCCAACUUGGGUAUAAGCCUGGGAAACUGGGUCUAAUUCCCGAUAGGACUGCAGGGUGGUGCCUGUGGUGGAAAACGAUUUUCUAGUGGUUGGGGAUGAGCUCGCGGCCUAUCAGCUUGUUGGUGGGGUAAUGGCCUACCAAGGCGGCGACGGGUAGCCGGCCUGAGAGGGUGGACGGCCACAUUGGGACUGAGAUACGGCCCAGACUCCUACGGGAGGCAGCAGUGGGGAAUAUUGCACAAUGGGCGGAAGCCUGAUGCAGCGACGCCGCGUGGGGGAUGACGGCCUUCGGGUUGUAAACUCCUUUCGACCGCGAGGAAGCCACCUGGCUGGAAGGGUGGUGACGGUAGUGGUAGAAGAAGCACCGGCUAACUACGUG
rnacentral:rRNA from 1 species